rnacentral:rRNA from 1 species
UACGUAGGUGGCAAGCGUUGUCCGGAUUUACUGGGCGUAAAGAGCGCGCAGGCGGUCGUUCAAGUCGCGUGUGAAAGCCCCCGGCUCAACUGGGGAGGGUCACGCGAUACUGAUCGACUCGAAGGCAGGAGAGGGAAGUGGAAUUCCCGGUGUAGUGGUGAAAUGCGUAGAUAUCGGGAGGAACGCCAGUGGCGAAGGCGACUUCCUGGCCUGUUCUUGACGCUGAGGCGCGAAAGCUAGGGGAGCAAACGGG